UAUAUCAUGGUCUGGAAACCAGUAUCGAUACAGACAAUUAAACAAUGUUUUAUUACUCCCUGUAACUGUUUUUUCUCACUCCUGUGUUUUAGUGCUUGCAGAGAAUUUUGCCUAGCUGUCGUUUCGAACAUACAGAGAAUACAAGAAUACUCAUAUAACAAGGUCUGUUAUUAACUAAUAUGAGAAGCUUUGAUUUUAAGCAUGUAGCAAGGCCUGGUAACUAGUGUGAAGCUUGAUUGUGAGCAUAUAGCAAGGCCUGGUAACUAAUGUGAAACUUGAUUUUAAGCAUAUAGCAAGGCCUGGUAACUAAUGUGAAGCUUGAUUGUGAGCAUAUAGCAAGGCCUGGUAACUAAUGUGAAGCUUGAUUGUGAGUACAUAGCAAGGCCUGGUAACUAAUGUGAAGCUUGAUUGUGAGCAUAUAGCAAGGCCUGGUAACUAACGUGAAGCUUAAUUGUAAGCAUAUAGCAAGGCCUGGUAACUAAUGUGAAGCUCCAUUGUCAGCAUAUAGCAAGGCCUGGUAACUAAUGUGAAGCUCCAUUGUCAGCAUAUAGCAAGGCCUGGUAACGAAUGUGAAGCUUGAUUGUGAGCAUAUAGCAAGGCCUGGUAACUAAUGCGAAGCUUGAUUGUGAGCAUAUAGCAAGGCCUGGUAACUAGUGAAAAACUUGAUUGUGAGCAUGUACCAAGGCCUGGUAACUAGUGCGAAGCUUGAUUGUGAGCAUAUAGAAAGGCCUGGUAACUAAUGUAAAUAUUGAACUGGAGCAUGUAGGAAGAUCUAGUGUGGAACUUUGAUGCGGAAAGUACAAUAUUCUGUGCCAGUGCUCGCGCUUCAGUAACUUCCUAUUUUCACACAGGUCUUUACUGAAUCUCCUGCAACUUUCUACUUCAGCUGCUUGCAGUUGAAUAUACACCGCGUAAGAUUUGGCUGUGGUGUUCAUUUUCCGUACAUGUCAAUUGGCCCGAAGGAAGUGCGUUUGAAGGAGGCGCCAUCCCACAACCACACACAAUUGCCAUCCACAAAUAAUCAACACCACAGUCAAACAUUACCAGUAUCCUCCACUGUCAGCAAUUGAGCUAAUUCUUGCAAUAUAAACUCGUCCGUCACAGCAUUUAUUUCAAAUUGAAAAUUGUCUGCUGUUCAUGACGCACAAGCUAUUAUUUUGAAACGUUUCAAACAAAGAUAAAGCAAUGUCUGGGCUGCUCGAUCAAACAAUCCUGGUGAUCUAAAACCACAUUGCUUUUUAAAGAGUUAAUAUACCGCUUCCAAUUUGGAAACUGAAUUCCUAACUCUGGUCGAAUGGUCGAACUUCGCUAUAGCAAUAGUUGUUGAAAUAGCAGACAGCAUUUUCUACCAUACUAUCAACACCUCAGAAUUUGAGAUGGAACCCGGAUUUUGAUGUAGCUACAUCACGCACACAUGACACCUAACAACUACGUCGCUUGCAUUUACACAUUGAA